CCGCGCAGCCGGGGCAGUGGCGUGCCUUGUACCCGAAGCCUGCGGGGGUGAUGUCGACCGGAGGGCGCCGAAAGCCGCCUCCGGGGGCGGUGAUGAUAUCCGGGUCUUAUGCAACAGGACGCCGUGAACCGUGUCAGGUCGGGAACGAAGCAGCACUAAGCGGAGAGUUUUGUGUGACAUGAGGACGCCUGGAAGGAGCUUGCUUCCGGAGUACCGUUUCGGGACGGUUCGAAGGAAGACGCGCGG
rnacentral:SRP_RNA from 1 species